UGGCAGACGGGUGAGUAAUGCGUAGGAAUCUACCUAGUAGUACGGAAUAGCCAUUAGAAAUGGUGGGUAAUACUGUAUAAUCCCCGAGGGGGAAAGAUUUAUCGCUAUUAGAUGAGCCUACGUUAGAUUAGCUAGUUGGUGAGGUAAUGGCUUACCAAGGCUAUGAUCUAUAGCUGGUCUGAGAGGACGAUCAGCCACACUGGAACUGAGAUACGGUCCAGGCUCCUACGGGAGGCAGCAGUGGGGAAUAUUGGACAAUGGGCGAAAGCCUGAUCCAGCUAUGCCGCGUGAGUGAAGAAGGCCUUCGGGU
rnacentral:rRNA from 1 species